GACGAACGCUGGCGGCGUGCUUAACACAUGCAAGUCGAACGGAAAGACCCUGCUUUUGUGGGGUGCUCGAGUGGCGAACGGGUGAGUAACACGUGAGUAACCUGCCCUUGACUUUGGGAUAACUUCAGGAAACUGGGGCUAAUACCGGAUAGGAGCUCCUGCUGCAUGGUGGGGGUUGGAAAGUUUCGGCGGUUGGGGAUGGACUCGCGGCUUAUCAGCUUGUUGGUGGGGUAGUGGCUUACCAAGGCUUUGACGGGUAGCCGGCCUGGGAGGGUGACCGGCCACAUUGGGACUGAGAUACGGACCAGACUCCAACGGAAGGCAGCAGUGGGGAAUAUUGCACAAUGGGCGGAAGCCUGAUGCAGCAACGCCGCGUGCGGGAUGACGGCCUUCGGGUUGUAAACCGCUUUCGCCUGUGACGAAGCGUGAGUGACGGUAAUGGGUAAAGAAGCACCGGCUAACUACGUG
rnacentral:rRNA from 1 species